rnacentral:rRNA from 1 species
GAUGAACGCUGGCGGCGUGCCUAAUACAUGCAAGUCGAACGAACGGACGAGAAGCUUGCUUUUCUGAUGUUAGCGGCGGACGGGUGAGUAACACGUGGAUAACCUACCUAUAAGACUGGGAUAACUUCGGGAAACCGGAUCUAAUACCGGAUAAUAUUUUGAACCGCAUGGUUCAAAAGUGAAAGACGGUCUUGCUGUCACUUAUAGAUGGAUCCGCGCUGCUUUAGCUAGUUGGUAAGGUAACGGCUUAGCAAGGCAACGAUGCAUAGACGACCUGAGAGGGUGAUAGGCCACACUGGAACGGAGACACGGUCAAGAGUCCUAAGGGAGGCAGCAGUAGGGAAUGUUACGCAGUGGGCGAGAGCAUGACGGAGCGAGGCGGAGUGAGUGAUGAAGAUCUUCGGAGCGGAAAACUCUGUUAUUAGGGAAGAACAUAUGUGUAAGUAAAUGUGCAGAUCUUGACGGUACCUAAUAAGAAAGCAACGGCUAACUACGUG